AUUGAACGCUGGCGGCAGGCCUAACACAUGCAAGUCGAACGGUAGCACAGAGAGCUUGCUCUCGGGUGACGAGUGGCGGACGGGUGAGUAACGUCUGGGAAGCUGCCCGAUGGAGGGGGAUAACUACUGGAAACGGUAGCUAAUACCGCAUAACGUCGCAAGACCAAAGUGGGGGACCUUCGGGCCUCACACCAUCGGAUGUGCCCAGAUGGGAUUAGCUAGUAGGUGGGGUAAUGGCUCACCUAGGCGACGAUCCCUAGCUGGUCUGAGAGGAUGACCAGCCACACUGGAGCGGGGACACGGUCCAGACUCCUACGGGAGGCAGCAGUGGGGAAUAUUGCACAAUGGGCGCAAGCCUGAUGCAGCCAUGCCGCGUGUAUGAAGAAGGCCUUCGGGUUGUAAAGUACUUUCAGCGGGGAGGAAGGCGGUGAAGUUAAUAACUUCACCGAUUGACGUUACCCGCAGAAGAAGCACCGGCUAACUCCGUGCCAGCCGCCGCCGUAA
rnacentral:rRNA from 1 species